GGCCGCGCGCUCCGGGGGCGCGCCGGGUGCCCGCGGGCCGGCCGUGAGUCCUGCCCACAGCGCUCGGGUCCUCCGGCCCGCGCAAGCUUCCACCCGGAGCGGCUUGGGUCCGGACGGCCGGACGGGCGGACGGGUCCGCCCUGGGCAGGCUGAGGUGUGGCGGGGCAGCCGGGCGGCGCGGCGUCCUGACGGGUGGGGCGGGCCCGGAGCUGCCUGCCGAGCCGGGUGGACAGGUGGGCGUGGGCAGCGCGGCCGGCGGAACUGGCCGGCCAUCCCGCCGCGGCCCUGACCCCUGGGGGUGCACUGGCUGCUUGGGGUCAAAUCCAAGCUGACCUUUCUCCGGAGGAAAGAUAAAUUAUUAUGGUUGUGGGUGAGCGUCAGUGCAAAUGUUUUCAGAGUCCUCCUCCUCCUCCUCCUCCGGCUCCGGGUGCUGUUUGAAUCCCCCGCAUUCCUCAGCCCUGGGCAGGGAGCGGCGGCGGCCUUUGUGUCUCCGGGGAGCGCAUGCCACCUCGGGAGGAGAGAGCGGACCGGAGUUAAAGAGCAGGGAGAGACAUUAGUCACCCUUUCCAGUGUGAAGAUAUGUUUUCUCUCUACCAGUUGGAUUUCGUCUUUCGUGGGAGAGAAGAGCAUCUGUCCUCCAGGCUUUGUCUGCUCUGCGGCUGCACCAGCACAGCAAAGCCACAUAAGGAGGCUUUUCAGCAGAGGAGCCCGGGGUUGAACUCCUGCCAUGGGGAAUGAAUUCUUCAAUAGACCCCUCGUCCUCUUCUGGAAGUUAAAGAGAGGCGAUUUGCAGAAAAGCAUAUGUGUGUGAAUGCA